rnacentral:misc_RNA from 1 species
UACCCUCCAGCAGCUUGCUAC